UUUAAUGAGAGUUUGAUCCUGGCUCAGGACGAACGCUGGCGGCGUGCCUAAUACAUGCAAGUCGAACGCUUCUUUUUCACCGGGUGCUUGCACCCACCGAGAAAGAGGAGUGGCGGACGGGUGAGUAACACGUGGGCAACCUGCCCAUCAGAGGGGGAUAACACUUGGAAACAGGUGCUAAUACCGCAUAAUUCUUUUUGUCGCCUGACAAAAAGAUAAAAGACGCUUUCGGGUGUCACUGAUGGAUGGGCCCGCGCUGCAUUAGCUAGUUGGUGGGGUAACGGCUCA
rnacentral:rRNA from 1 species